UACGGAGGGGCUAGCGUUGUUCGGAAUUACUGGGCGUAAAGCGCGCGUAGGCGGACCUGCAAGUCGGGGGUGAAAGCCCGAGGCUCAACCUCGGAACUGCCUUCGAUACUGCGGGUCUCGAGUCCGGGAGAGGUGAGUGGAAUUCCUAGUGUAGAGGUGAAAUUCGUAGAUAGUUAGGAAGAACACCAGUGGCGGAAGGCGGCUCCACUGGCCCGGUGACG
rnacentral:rRNA from 1 species